UACGAAGGGUGCAAGCGUUACUCGGAAUUACUGGGCGUAAAGCGUGCGUAGGCGGUUUGUUAAGUCCGCUGUGAAAGCCCUGGGCUCAACCUGGGAAUUGCAGUGGAUACUGGCAAGCUAGAGUGCGGUAGAGGAUGGUGGAAUUCCCGGUGUAGCGGUGAAAUGCGUAGAGAUCGGGAGGAACACCCGUGGCGAAGGCGGCGACCUGGGUAGAUACUGACGCUGAGGUGCGAAAGCGUGGGGAGCAAACAGG
rnacentral:rRNA from 1 species